GGCCUGAUGGUGUAAUGGUAACAUACCUGUGGUCAAUUGGGGCGUCCAGUAUGUAUUACUUUCUGCAGGGGAUCCUUGUUCAAUUCGAGGUCAGGUCG